AAAAAAAAGGAGAAAAGAAGAUAAUGAAAGAACAUUUCCCUGUUUGUAUGUUGGAGUGACGCCAGGCUGAUCCUGGCUUCAAAGAACUUGUCAACAAGCAGGGAUAUUUUAAAGCUUUCUUUUUUUUUUUACAUUUUUUUUUUAUUUUUGGUUUCAAUUCC